rnacentral:rRNA from 1 species
CCUACGGGAGGCUGCAGUGGGGAAUAUUGGACAAUGGGGGCAACCCUGAUCCAGCCAUGCCGCGUGUGUGAAGAAGGCCCUCGGGUUGUAAAGCACUUUCAGUGAGGAAGAACGCCUGGUGGUUAAUACCCAUCAGGAAAGACAUCACUCACAGAAGAAGCACCGGCUAACUCCGUGCCAGCAGCCGCGGUAAUACGGAGGGUGCGAGCGUUAAUCGGAAUUACUGGGCGUAAAGCGCGCGUAGGUGGCUUGAUAAGCCGGUUGUGAAAGCCCCGGGCUCAACCUGGGAACGGCAUCCGGAACUGUCAAGCUAGAGUGCAGGAGAGGAAGGUAGAAGUCCCGGUGUAGCGGUGAAAUGCGUAGAGAUCGGGAGGAAUACCAGUGGCGAAGGCGGCCUUCUGGACUGACACUGACACUGAGGUGCGAAAGCGUGGGUAGCAAACAGGAUUAGAUACCCCUGUAGUC